rnacentral:piRNA from 1 species
UAAGAAAGGCCACAGAUCCUGAAGUUC